rnacentral:lncRNA from 1 species
GGAAGGAAGCCCUGCAGGCGGAGAAACCAUCUAGAGAACCUCUGAACACAGCCAGGUAAAUAAAUACGUGGUUUGGCUUCAUUAGGACAGUGUCAGCUUCCCUCUGCAUCUAUUACUGACAUUUCCAGGACCCACUGUCCUGCCUUCUGCCUCUCUUCUCCCAGGAAAAGAUCUUAAGAGGCUGUGAUGGCUGCUUUAUUGGCGGCUUAGGCUAUUUGGUAGGUAAUAGGAAAGUUACAAUGUAAUAAUCUGCCAUCCACCUUGAUUUUAUUCUUCCACUCUCACCCCUGGUGUCCAGAGCUGAGCGAGCUGAAGCUGAAUAUCAGUGUGUAUAGAUGUUAAAGCAAGGAAGAUCGAUAGUAGACAGCAGGAAGAACUUCCUGGUGAUGUUGCUGAUGAUGGAGCUGGAGGCUGGGCUGGACGAUGGUCCGAGGACAGCGACCACCCCCUUGGGGAGGAUCUGACACACUGCAGCCAGCGGCAGGGACAGGGAAAGAAGCAAAGCACUCAUCAGAUACAAAAUCAACAGAGAGAAAUUAAAGAGCAGAGUCAAGAUUCAACAGCUCCACCCAUUUCCCCAAAGACCGGCCCCUUAACCACUGCACCGCACAGCCAUCCCCAGCAAAUGGCAAUUAACUGGGAUGUUUGUAGAUUGCCUUGGCCACUGGAACACUGAGUUAUUGUCUUCCCUUUUUUCAUUUCACUACUUUCUAUAAUGAGCAUGUAUUCCUUUUUAUAACAUAUUAUAAAGAAUACAAUGCUAUAAUAAAAACAUUCUUCUGAUGAGCAAGUAAAAUUCGAGUGACUCUGGUCUCCUUAAGUCCUGUCUUUGCAGCCCCUUCUCCCACCGUGCCAUCUCCCGCUGCAUGCCAGCUCACCUAGAACAUACUCUGUACAUAUUUUCCUGCCUGAUCCUGUUCCCAAAUGGCUAUCUCUAGAUCAGGGGUUCUUAACCUGUAGCCUGGGG